CAAUAGCGUAUAUUUAAGUUGUUGCAGUUAAAAAGCUCGUAGUUGGAUUUCUGGUAGGAGUGACCGUGCCAGACUUGAUUGUCUGUGUAUUGUGUUGUCUCCAGCCAUCCUUGUGGAGAACUUUUCUUGCAUUAAUUUGUAGGGAUUGGGACCCGCAUCGUUUACUGUGAAAAAAUUAGAGUGUUUAAAGCAGGCAAUCGCUUGAAUACAUUAGCAUGGAAUAAUAAGAUAGGACUUUGGUACUAUUUUGUUGGUUUGCAUACCAAAUUAAUGAUCAACAGGAACAGUUUGAGGAUAUUCGUAUGAACAUGUCAGAGGUGAAAUUCUUGGAUUUUGAUCAGACGAACUACUGCGAAAGCAUUUAUCAAGGAUGUUUUCAUUAA
rnacentral:rRNA from 1 species